GCGGAUUUCCAGCUGCGCAGUGAACUUUAAGGCUGUGCCACACCGACGAGGUUCAAUGAGUGUGAAGCAGCUUUAAAGUUCUUCGCUAUGUAAGAAAGAAAAAGAAGCAAAGUGCACAGUUGCACGACGGAUGAAGUGACGGACAACGACACA